GGGGGGGCAUUUAUGCGGGCACCGCGAUAGGGGACCUCGAGUGCCGACAUCUAAUGUCGGCUGUCGUGAUGCCUAAAAAGCAUUAUAUAGCAAGGGCCGGGCAAGACCGGUGCCAGCCGCCGCGGUAACACCGGCGGCUCGAGUGGUGACCGCUAUUAUUGGGUUUAAAGGGUCUGUAGCCGGCCGGAUGAGUCUCUUGAGAAAUCUGGCCGCUUAACGGUCAGGCUUUCAGGAGAUACUGUCUGGCUCGAGGCCGGGAGAGGUGAGAGGUACUUCAGGGGUAGGGGUGAAAUCUUGUAAUCC
rnacentral:rRNA from 1 species